AGAGUUUGAUCCUGGCUCAGGACGAACGCUGGCGGCGUGCCUAAUACAUGCAAGUAGAACGCUGAAGGAGGAGCUUGCUUCUCUGGAUGAGUUGCGAACGGGUGAGUAACGCGUAGGUAACCUGCCUGGUAGCGGGGGAUAACUAUUGGAAACGAUAGCUAAUACCGCAUAAGAGUGGAUGUUGCAUGACAUUUGCUUAAAAGGUGCACUUGCAUCACUACCAGAUGGACCUGCGUUGUAUUAGCUAGUUGGUGGGGUAAGGGCUCACCAAGGCGACGAUACAUAGCCGACCUGAGAGGGUGAUCGGCCACACUGGGACUGAGACACGGCCCAGACUCCUACGGGAGGCAGCAGUAGGGAAUCUUCGGCAAUGGACGGAAGUCUGACCGAGCAACGCCGCGUGAGUGAAGAAGGUUUUCGGAUCGUAAAGCUCUGNGUCUUAAGCAAUGAACGAUUUCGAGGGCGUCAAAGAGUAUUAAGAGACUUACGCAUUGUGUUUAAGGAGUUUACUAUCCGUACCCACUAGGAAGUCAUGCAAAAAAAAUGAAAAAAAUUAGAAAAAGUAGUUGACAAAGUUUGAAAAGACUGUAUAAUAGUAAGAGUUGAAAAUAACAACUCAGGUCCGUUGGUCAAGGGGUUAAGACACCGCCUUUUCACGGCGGUAACACGGGUUCGAAUCCCGUACGGACUAUGGUAUGUUGCGGUUGGAACACUUGAUGAAAAAAAGUUUAAAAAAACUUAAAAAUCUUCAAAAAAGUGUUGACAAGCGAAAGCAGUUGUGAUAUACUAAUAUAGUUGUCGCUUGAGAGAAGCAAGUGACAAAGACCUUUGAAAACUGAACAAGACGAACCAAUGUGCAGGGCGCUACAACAUAAGUUGUAGUACUGAACAAUGAAAAAACAAUAAAUCUGUCAGUGACAGAAAUGAGUGAGAACUCAAACUUUUAAUGAGAGUUUGAUCCUGGCUCAGGACGAACGCUGGCGGCGUGCCUAAUACAUGCAAGUAGAACGCUGAAGGAGGAGCUUGCUUCUCUGGAUGAGUUGCGAACGGGUGAGUAACGCGUAGGUAACCUGCCUGGUAGCGGGGGAUAACUAUUGGAAACGAUAGCUAAUACCGCAUAAGAGUGGAUGUUGCAUGACAUUUGCUUAAAAGGUGCACUUGCAUCACUACCAGAUGGACCUGCGUUGUAUUAGCUAGUUGGUGGGGUAAGGGCUCACCAAGGCGACGAUACAUAGCCGACCUGAGAGGGUGAUCGGCCACACUGGGACUGAGACACGGCCCAGACUCCUACGGGAGGCAGCAGUAGGGAAUCUUCGGCAAUGGACGGAAGUCUGACCGAGCAACGCCGCGUGAGUGAAGAAGGUUUUCGGAUCGUAAAGCUCUGUUGUAAGAGAAGAAUGAGUGUGAGAGUGGAAAGUUCACACUGUGACGGUAUCUUACCAGAAAGGGACGGCUAACUACGUGCCAGCAGCCGCGGUAAUACGUAGGUCCCGAGCGUUGUCCGGAUUUAUUGGGCGUAAAGCGAGCGCAGGCGGUUAGAUAAGUCUGAAGUUAAAGGCUGUGGCUUAACCAUAGUAGGCUUUGGAAACUGUUUAACUUGAGUGCAAGAGGGGAGAGUGGAAUUCCAUGUGUAGCGGUGAAAUGCGUAGAUAUAUGGAGGAACACCGGUGGCGAAAGCGGCUCUCUGGCUUGUAACUGACGCUGAGGCUCGAAAGCGUGGGGAGCAAACAGGAUUAGAUACCCUGGUAGUCCACGCUGUAAACGAUGAGUGCUAGGUGUUAGACCCUUUCCGGGGUUUAGUGCCGUAGCUAACGCAUUAAGCACUCCGCCUGGGGAGUACGACCGCAAGGUUGAAACUCAAAGGAAUUGACGGGGGCCCGCACAAGCGGUGGAGCAUGUGGUUUAAUUCGAAGCAACGCGAAGAACCUUACCAGGUCUUGACAUCUCUCUGACCGCUCUAGAGAUAGAGCUUUCCUUCGGGACAGAGGUGACAGGUGGUGCAUGGUUGUCGUCAGCUCGUGUCGUGAGAUGUUGGGUUAAGUCCCGCAACGAGCGCAACCCCUAUUGUUAGUUGCCAUCAUUUAGUUGGGCACUCUAGCGAGACUGCCGGUAAUAAACCGGAGGAAGGUGGGGAUGACGUCAAAUCAUCAUGCCCCUUAUGACCUGGGCUACACACGUGCUACAAUGGCUGGUACAACGAGUCGCAAGCCGGUGACGGCAAGCUAAUCUCUUAAAGCCAGUCUCAGUUCGGAUUGUAGGCUGCAACUCGCCUACAUGAAGUCGGAAUCGCUAGUAAUCGCGGAUCAGCACGCCGCGGUGAAUACGUUCCCGGGCCUUGUACACACCGCCCGUCACACCACGAGAGUUUGUAACACCCGAAGUCGGUGAGGUAACCGUAAGGAGCCAGCCGCCUAAGGUGGGAUAGAUGAUUGGGGUGAAGUCGUAACAAGGUAGCCGUAUCGGAAGGUGCGGCUGGAUCACCU
rnacentral:tRNA from 1 species